UACAGAGGGUGCAAGCGUUGCUCGGAAUCAUUGGGCGUAAAGGGCAGGUAGGUGGUCUCGUUUGUCUGGGGUGAAAGCCCAGGGCUUAACCCUGGAAGUGCCCCGGAAACGGCGAGACUGGAGUCUUGGAGAGGGUCGUGGAAUUCCCGGUGUAGCGGUGAAAUGCGUAGAGAUCGGGAGGAACACCAGAGGCGAAGGCGGCGAUCUGGGAACAUACUGACGCUGAGGUGCGAAAGCGUGGGGAGCAAACAGG
rnacentral:rRNA from 1 species